UACGUAGGGGGCAAGCGUUAUCCGGAAUUACUGGGUGUAAAGGGUGCGUAGGCGGGCUUUUAAGUCAGCGGUAAAAAUUCGGGGCUCAACCCCGUCCGGCCGUUGAAACUGGGGGCCUUGAGUGGGCGAGAAGAAGGCGGAAUGCGUGGUGUAGCGGUGAAAUGCAUAGAUAUCACGCAGAACCCCGAUUGCGAAGGCAGCCUUCCGGCGCCCUACUGACGCUGAGGCACGAAAGUGCGGGGAUCGAACAGG
rnacentral:rRNA from 1 species